rnacentral:lncRNA from 1 species
UCAAAGGUUUCACUACGAACGACUAUAGCUGGAGGGACUAAUUCUUCUUUGUUCGCCUAGACGAAGCUUCGAUUGCUGAGGAGUGCCUUCGUGCUUUCAAGCGAUCAUGGGGGAGGAGAGGUAAUGUGAUAGAUCAUCUGUACCACUCUAUUCUUGUUGGCAUCUAACUUAUGUUUGCCUUUUAGUUUGUGAUCCCAUUCCUCCGUUCCCGGAGGAUCUGUUCGUCGUUCAAGACAUCCUUCGUGGGGGUGCGGUUUUCUGGGGUCACUUCAGUCCGGAAAGAGUUCAUGCAGCAGUAGCACUCCAUCAAUCUCGAUUUUGUUCUUCGGUCGAGGAAGAUGCAGAGCCAACCGUAGAGUAUUCUAUCCUGUCCAGAUUUCUCGCGCAGGAGCGGUGGUCCAGGAUGGUCUGGCGCUGCACCCG